AUUCUUAAUUUGAAGAGAUUUCUUUGUAGGUAUAAACUAUAGAUAGUAUAGUGUGUUUACUAUAUAACUUAUGGUGUUCAUCAAUUUGGCUAUUCUCAUGUGACCUAGAUGCUUGGUGACACAGUAAUUUGUAGAUUUGCUGAGGCACACUCUAAAUAGGUCUAUAACACAGCUAAUGAGGGUAGUAGGUCAUUUUCGUCAAUAAGAAUGCCUCACAGAGGACCAGGAGCCACAUCUUUACUAAGCCUUGUUGCUAUGUUUUGCUUUGGUGAUGUUUGUAAUUUAUGAUGCAAAUCAUAUACCGUAGUUAAACUUUUUUAUUAGGAGAUUCAGGAUGGUCUCAGGAGAUAACAUCAGAGAUAAUCAGUGGUCUAGAGUUUUGUGUGUGUGUCUGUGUCUGUGUGUGUUAAUCCCAUUUGUAAAAGGAGACCAGAAAUAUUCUGGAAAUAGGGCCUAUUAGAGACAUAAAAGAGAGAUUAUUUCACUUAUCUUCAUACUCUACCCUAUAGAAGCUAUAGAACACAGAUUCUUUACGUAAACAUGCAGGCAUAGGCUAGAAUCCAGGUAAUUUUCUCAUGUAGCUUGUUACUCUAGCAUAUACUGGGUUGAUAACAUCAUUAAAAUGAAAACUUGUGAACAGAAUGUGUUUUUUAAAAGGUGUUCAACAUUUGCUUUAUUGGUAUUUUUUUUCUUUGUGAUAAAAAUGAAUAGAAGCUUCAUUUCACAUUAUCAAAUAUGAUUGCUUUAUUAGCCCUCUUUUUAGAGCUGCACCUGUGGCAUAUGGAGGUUCCCAGGCUAGGAGUCUGCACCGGCCUACACCAGAGCCACAGCAAUGCCAGACCUGAGCCACACCUGUGACCUACAUCAUAGCUCACGGCGACGCCAGAUCCUCAACCCACUGAGUGAGGCCAGGGAUCAAACCCGCAAGCUCAUGGUUCCUAGUCGGAUUCGUUUCCACUGCGCCACAACUGAAAUCCCUCAAAUAUGAUAGUUUUAAAAACAAGACCUGAAUACCCAUAAGAUACAAAUUUUCAAUGUUCCUUUUUAUAAAAUUCAAUGCAUAAUUAGGCACAGUUCUAAACUUGAGUUGAAAUGUAUUGAGAUCUUUCUAAAUAACAUUUAUUUUUUAAAGAGAUACUUUUAUAAAACAGUAAAUAUACAGGUAUGGGGUAAAUUAUAACGUGAUUAUCUGAAGUGUUUCUUGUUAUGUUCUCUCUUAGAAUAGCUGCCAAGUAUUUUAGUAUGUUUAAAAAAUCUUAAUAUUAGGGAGCUUAUAAUUUAGAUUAUAUGAUCAUAUUCAGAAAAGCAUUAGAUAUAUAGAGUAACUAUUGAAAUGACUAUAUUGUUAUUAAAAGUUACAGACAUAUGUAGAGGCAGAAAAAUAUUCCCUUCUUCCCUUCUGGGUUCUUCAGUUGAUCUAAUAACAUUCAGCAUAUGACAGAUUCCCAAGAUAAAGACAUUUAAUUCUGUACAUAUGGGAUCCCCACGAAGAUAUGGGAUUCAAAUUGAGGUUUAUAUACCAUCCUGACCUAAGGAAUGGGAAAGGGGCCUGCAGCUUCCAAGGGAAGGCAGGCAAUUGACUGGAAGAGGCAAAGGGCAGGUGUUGAUAAUCAGAUGUUUACCUGGCCAUUCAGAUAAGCUCUUUCAGAUUUAAAAAAAAAAAAAAAAA
rnacentral:lncRNA from 1 species